UUUGGUAAAUGAACAUUUCUCUCUAAAACCGGCUAAGUUUGGGUUGAUGCAAAAAACUGGGUUUUAGCCGGGUGUCCAAGACACCCGGUGUCCAAAUGUCUUUUCCGUUUUUACAAUUAGUAUUAUUGCACUACAAUUACAUCCUUAAAUUUUUUCUUCUUCUUCUUCGCCGACAUCCUUACAUCACUAAUAUCUUAUAAUCUCGUCAUACUUUUCAAUUUCAACCGUCUCGUUUAAAAUAUAUUACAUUCCAUUUUAAGACAUUAACACAUAAGUGACAUAACAAACCCUUUUAAAUUUUUAAUAUAUCUCAUAAUUAUAGUAUGGUAUACCACAAAAAUUACUCUUUACAUUUUCUCUACUUAAUCUGAGAAAAAUAUAUUUUUUAAAAAAAAACUAUUUUUUUUUCAAUUUUAAAUAUAAAUUGAUUUUAUUAUAAAUAAAUCAAUUUAUAUUUAAAAUAUCUACAUAUUAAUACCGGUAUCCAAAAUAAAUGAGAUAUUUUAAAUUGAACAGGGAAGUGCAUUAUAAUUUUUUAAAUAAAACCUAGCUCCCAAUAACUUGACACAAAAGACAAGGGAUAUAAAUUGCUUACCAUUCUCGAAAAGCACUCUAGGUAAAAGAUUAGAUUCUCAAGAUAAAUACAAAUAAGAGUAGUAAGUUAUAACGUUAUCACUAUUUCUCUAUUAAUUUCCCUCUUCUACUAUUCAAUCUUGCAAUUUUUUCCUGUAAUUUAAUCACCAGUAAAUUAGAACUUUUUGCACCAAAACAAACGUAAUGAAACACAAAUCAAAACAUACAAAAGCCCAUGGCAAAUCUGGUUUCAAAAUGAAAUAAUCAUUUAAUUUACAUAAAAAAGCGUAUAUAAAUAUACAUACAAGAAUGGAAAAUUAGAUGACUAAGCAGAAAAGAAGCCAUUGGUAGCAGCAACAGUGAUCUGUGAUCUGGCCUCGAAAUUCCUCACCAUUUUGUCAUCCUUUACUAACAGCAUCAUCUCUUUCAUCCAAGAAGCAGAUGACCCUUUGAAUCUCUGCCCCAAAACUCCCACACACGAAAACAUAUCAAUCUCCCCACCAUUCAUCUUUCUUGAAUUCUUCACCCUCCUCUCAUACUCCUCUGCAACCAAGAUUGCAAUAUCUGCCAUUUUCAACAAUCCCUCUCUCUCUCUACAAUAAUUUCUUGCACUUGUUUGAGCUUUGCCACUGUUAGUAAUGAUGGAUAAUGGUGGGGUUUUUUGUGUGUAUUUAAAGGGGUGGGAGCAAUAUUGGAUAAGGUUGCCAGGUGAUGACUGAUCCUAGCUACAAUGUUUUAGCAUUAUUUUAUGCAAGGAUUUAGGUAAUUCAGGAUCAUCUUUCUUUUCCCUUUUUAAGUUUUUAAAGUUUAUAUAUUUAUUUAUUUAUUGCAGUUUACUGUGAGCCGAUUUCUGUGGUCGAAGGGCAUGAAUAGAAUACUGCUUUGCCGACCAAAAUGGCAGUUUUCUUGAGAUUAAACUAAUAUGUGCUAAAUUAGUUAAAAUGCUUCACUUUUUGGAGAAUUAGUGGAAUCUAAUUUGUUAGAUGUGAAGAUCAUUAAGUAAAUUGUUUACUGAAUAUACAUCUAAAUAAAUGUAUAUGGAUUAUAUAAACGGCUGAUAUUGCAAUAUGGAG
rnacentral:lncRNA from 1 species